UGAAGGCAUGAUAACAGGAUCUGUAGUUCAUUUUCACUGGGUUAGAAAUGUAGUUGUUCAGUCUUCCGGAGCAAUCAGUGCAUCUGGUCUGGGUACAGCAUCUACUUCUUUCCUACUAAAAAGGAAUGGCACUAGAAGUGAUACUACUGACAUGGGACUGAAGCAAUGAGAAAUGGAGAAUUUUUUCAAAGAUUUUUUUCCCUCAUUCUACAAUCUUAUAUUUGAGCUAGGAUUAUGGUGCACUCGAGGAGUACAUUUUAUUUUUUAUUGAAGCUUGAUCUGAACUUUAUGUAGGCUGCACAGGUGGCUUGGGCAAAGGAAAAGUUUCUGACAAUGGUCUUGGUGGGGGUGCUGGGCAUGUUGGCAAAGGCGGGGAUGGAUAUUAUAAUGGCACUUCUGUUGAGGGAGGUGUUACAUAUGGAGAUGCUGGAUUGCCUUGUGAACUUGGUAGCGGUAGUGGAAAUAGAAAUCUAUCUGGGGUAACAGCGGGUGGUGGUAUAAUAGGUAAGUUUGCAGAUUAUGAUAAGCAGGUAACUUUUUAACUUGUUAUAAUUCUCUAUACAUGAUUCUGAAGCUAUUGAAAAUUGCAUGAACUGGAGAACUCUACUUUUGUGGAAAUUAUAGCUAGUAUUUAGCUCACCUUUGAGGACAGUGGUUAUAAGUGGUCUGCCAUUUGCAUGCUUUUUAUUCUUCCUCCAAUUAUUGCAGUGGUUAUGAGUGGUUGAUGGUUUAUUG
rnacentral:misc_RNA from 1 species